GACGAACGCUGGCGGCGUGCCUAAUACAUGCAAGUUGAGCGCUGAAGGUUGGUACUUGUACCGACUGGAUGAGCAGCGAACGGGUGAGUAACGCGUGGGGAAUCUGCCUUUGAGCGGGGGACAACAUUUGGAAACGAAUGCUAAUACCGCAUAAAAACUUUAAACACAAGUUUUAAGUUUGAAAGAUGCAAUUGCAUCACUCAAAGAUGAUCCCGCGUUGUAUUAGCUAGUUGGUGAGGUAAAGGCUCACCAAGGCGAUGAUACAUAGCCGACCUGAGAGGGUGAUCGGCCACAUUGGGACUGAGACACGGCCCAAACUCCUACGGGAGGCAGCAGUAGGGAAUCUUCGGCAAUGGACGAAAGUCUGACCGAGCAACGCCGCGUGAGUGCAGAAGGUUUUCGGAUCGUAAAACUCUGUUGGUAGAGAAGAACGUUGGUGAGAGUGGAAAGCUCAUCAAGUGACGGUAACUACCCAGAAAGGGACGGCUAACUACGUG
rnacentral:rRNA from 1 species